UUCCUGGAAGCCUUGCGCGGCGCGCCCACUUUCCCUGCUGCAGUGUAUGGGCUGUGGGGCCUGGGUUGGACCCCACCUUAGGGGCCUGGGAGGGUCUCCGCUGUCAGCGCGUGGCGCGUCCCCCUCCCUUCCCGGGGUCUGCAAUCGCCCGUCCGUGGGGCAACUGAGCAGAGAACAACAAACAGAAUCUUGGCUCCCCUCGCUCUUGCGAAUCAAAAAGAUAUUCAUAACUGCACAGGCCAGGACUCGACCCCAAACUUCCCGCCUUGCGGGCCAGAAGACUAUCAUCGAACCACCAAUGCCAACAGAGAGACUUAGUCAGCUGUGUUCUCCCCAUGCAACUCUUCAAAGCAAGCCCUGGGCAAAUUAGUAAGGGCUAGCUUUGGCUGACAGUAACGUACUCAGGGCUAGUACUAGGUAUUGUAUUGUCUAUAGGGCAGGGGUUCUCAAACUGGGGGUUGGGACCCCUCGGGGUUGCAAGGUUAUUACAUGGGGGGGGGGGUCACAAGCUGUCAGCCUCCACCCCAAACCUCACUUUGCCUCAAGCAUUUACAAUGGUGUUAAAUAAAUAAAAACAUGAUUUUAAUUUAUUGGGGGUCACACACAGAGGCUUGCUAUGUGGAAGGGGUCAGCAGUACAAAAGUUUGAGAACCACUGCUAUAGGGGAAAACUUUUUUGGCAUCUACCUGUCCCCAAAUCAUGUAAGCAAAAAAAAACCCCACCCUCAAAACGAAGGAUUUGGCAUCCCAAAAUGUGGUGUGGGCAGUAGCUUUAGUCCUUAAAGCGGGCCCUCAUUUUGCUAGCGGAGAGUGUGGGGGUAGUCACUUGCUUUAAAGAAAUCAACAAAUGUCUGCCUGUUACCCUCAAAAACAAAUCAAGUUGAACAUUUUUAGGUUGAGCAAUAUGUCUAUUUGGGCCAAGAAAUUAACAUGUGCCACAAUCAGGAAGGUGAACUCUUGCGAAGAAAGAAAGCAGGUUGGUGUGCAUUCAAUUCUUAUCAAGUACGUCCUUGAAGGAAAAAUCAACAAGGCAACUCGUGCCAGCCUCUUCAGCUCAACAGUACUGCCAGCAACGUUGUACGGCAGCGAAACAUAGGCGCUGAUGAAGACAGAGGAGCAGCAACUGUCUGUCACGGAGAGGGUGAUGGAAAGAAGAAUUCUGGGGAUUUAAAUCCGUGACCGAGUCCCCAAUGAAGUGAUGAGACAGCAGAGUGGAGUGCAGGACGUCGCUGUUGAGAGCAGGCAUAGUAAAAUGCGAUUGUCCGGGCAUAUAGCGAGGCUCACUGACAAUUGAUGGACUGCAGCUUUCACCAAGUGGUACCCAUGCCGGGAACUGAAACGACCACUCAGCCGACCUCCAAAGAGAUGAGAAGAUUUUAUCGUGAAAAGACAUGGCCGCACAUGGAGAAGGAAGGCCAGGAUAUGAGAAGAAUGGAAGACAUGUGAUCGGCGCAAUCUAUACGAGGGCUGAUCGAUCAAGGCCCUCCCUGUGAACCAAGAGGGGUUGAGUAUGUGAACUUCAACCUAGCUGGAACAGGACCAAGGCGGUGUAUAUAAGUAAGAGAACUUGUGUGUAGGGGCCAGCUAUCACCAGCAGCAAGAACUUGCUGCAUAGGAGACAAUGGAGUCUUCACCUAUGCUGAACAUGGACAGAUCUCAGACCCAAACCAGAGGGGUGAGAUCGGCCGGAGGCAGGAUUUGCAUUUAGAUGUUUGUUGUUUUUCAAUAGAUCUGUAAAUCUUUUAUACUUCUGAGAGUAAAAUGUCGGUAUGUUCAAAAA